rnacentral:rRNA from 1 species
CGGAGGCAGCAGUGGGGAAUAUUGGACAAUGGGCGCAAGCCUGAUCCAGCGACGCCGCGUGAGUGAUGAAGGCCUUCGGGUUGUAAAGCUCUGUUGAGGGAGAAGAAAACAGGCCGUUCGAAUAGGUCGGUCUCUUGACGGUAUCCCUUUAGAAAGCACCGGCCAACUCUGUGCCAGCAGCCGCGGUAAGACAGAGGGUGCAAACGUUGCUCGGAAUUACUGGGCGUAAAGCGCGUGUAGGCCGGUUGGUAAGUCAGAUGUGAAAUCCCUGGGCUCAACCCAGGAACUGCAUUUGAAACUGCCAGCCUAGAGUGGUGGAGAGGGAGGCGGAAUUCCUGGUGUAGAGGUGAAAUUCGUAGAUAUCAGGAGGAACAUCGGUGGCGAAGGCGGCCUCCUGGACACUUACUGACGCUGAGACGCGAAAGCGUGGGGAGCAAACAGGAUUAGAUACCCGUGUAC